CCAAGAGGCUAGACCAAUAUACUUUUUCCUCCUACUUAUAAGGUACUAACUUGUUUAUUGUUUUCUACCAUUCCUUGACUCAACUAGUCAUCAUUUUUCCUCCCUCACAUUUUUCUUGUUUGUGAAAAUCAAUUAACCAAGUUAGUUCCAUUUUUCUAAAGAACUUUCUUAAUAUACCAUUUUUUGUAAAGUUCCUCUUGUUCUUGAAAUGACAUCAUCUUGGACUCCAAAGCAAAACAAACAAUUUGAAAGAGCUUUAGCCAUAUUUGAUAGAGAAACACCAGAUAGGUGGCAAAAUGUUGCAAACAUGGUUGGAAAAUCAAUUGAUGAUGUUAAAAAGCAUUAUGAGAUACUCAAAGAAGAUGUAAGGCGCAUUGAGCAUGGUCAAGUUGCAUUUCCUUACAGAACAAGCAAUGCUAAUAAUAAUUGAAGCCUUGUAGCAUUGAAUAGCAAAGGUUGUCAAUCCAGAAUCAACAAAAUUGAGGACUUAUGAUGAUUAAUUAAUUAAAUCACAUCCACAGUUAUCAAUAAGUAAAUAAAUGAUCAAUAUCAACAGAAAAAUAGUCCAACUGCAAUUUAAGCUACUCAUUAUGUCGAUGUAUUCACAUUUUUUUUGAAGCAAUGUAUUUACAAAUUAAUCUUGUGUGUAAACCAGUAUGUAUUAAUCAUUAAUUAAUAAAGGAAUUACUUAUUUGUCUAUCUA